UUGGAUCAUCAUGGCGGACAGGAGGCAGGACUAGAUUGCAGCUCCAGACAGAGCAGCUCGCAUGGUAAAAAUGCAAAAUGCGUAUGAACUUCAUUGGACAAAUAUUAUUAGAAAGGUCUGUUUCUCAAAUAACAAUUGUACGGCUGAGAUACACAUUUCAAAGCAUACCUACUAGUGGUUUCUGUUUGACAAGCUCACAGGCAUUCAUCGAGUGAAAAGAUGGAGGAAGGAAGUCAGAGAAGAUGAAUGGUUUGCUCACAGUAAUUCAGCAGUGUCUAGGGUUCUUCGCAUGAUAUCAUAACUCCUCUCAACAUCAUGAGGCUACUGAUGGAAAGCGCCUUUAGAUAAGUCACCAUGCAAGAGGCACUUAUUACACGUUUUUCAGCAUAUGUUGCAAGUUUAUUUUAAUGCUGAAGAGGCACAUUAUGAUCAAAGCAGAAUUCUGCCCAAUUUAAACUGUUCCAAGCUAUUUUCAUACAUUCACUCAUGUAAUACUGUAAGAUUUACAUUAAAAUGAAUGCUCGUCUAC